rnacentral:rRNA from 1 species
CGCGUAGGCGGUCUGUCCAGUUAGGCGUGAAAGGCCUGGGCUUAACCCAGGAAUGGCGCUUAAUACUGACGGGCUUGAGAUUGGAAGAGGAGAGUGGAAUUCCCAGUGUAGAGGUGAAAUUCGUAGAUAUUGGGAAGAACACCGGUGGCGAAGGCGGCUCUCUGGUCCACAUCUGACGCUGAGGCGCGAAAGCGUGGGAGCAAACAGGAUUAGAUACCCUGGUAGUCCACGCCGUAAACGAUGAGUGCUAGACGUUGGGGGGCUUGGCUCCUCGGUGUCGCAGCUAACGCGUUAAGCACUCCGCCUGGGGAGUACGGUCGCAAGAUUAAA